rnacentral:rRNA from 1 species
UACAGGGGGGGCAAGCGUUGUUCGGAAUUACUGGGCGUAAAGGGUCUGUAGGUGGCCAACUAAGUCAGACGUGAAAUCCCUCAGCUUAACUGGGGAACUGCGUCUGAUACUGGAUGGCUUGAGUGUGGGAGAGGAAUGCGGAAUUCCAGGUGUAGCGGUGAAAUGCGUAGAUAUCAGGAGGAACACCGGUGGCGAAGGCGGAUCUCUGGGCCAUUACUGACGCUGAGGAGCGAAAGCGUGGGGAGCGAACAGG